rnacentral:lncRNA from 1 species
ACCAAGCAAAAGUCACUGUCAGGGGACCUCCCACCCACCAUACAGGGGAACACUCGGCAGAGCCAGAGGCCUGGGCCCAAGUCCUGCCACCAGCUGGCUGUGAAACUGUGGUACAGCACCUUGUGUCCUGCCACCAGCCGGCUGUGAAACUGGUACAGCACCUUGUCCUCAGGUCCUUGGUUUCCUCACUUGUAAAUUCAUGGUUCUCCAUGGCAUCUCUGGUCUUCAACAUUAUUUUGCAUAGAGUCUCAGAAGCUUUAGUGUGAGCGGAUGAUAUGGGCACGAAGCAAGGCACCCAGAAGUGGGGGCAACUACUCUGCUUUCUAAAAUGCAAGGGAACCGGAAAAUCCAGGAGCCGUGCCAAAUGAGAAGAGGAACAAAUGGAGGAACAUCCCAGUCAAGUGACAUUCCUAGUGACAUUCACCAGAACAGAGUCAAGCUUUGGAUCCCAUGUUCUGUGACUUCCUCUUCACCACGCUUCCUCCACACACGUAGCAGCUCAAGGGUUUCUGAUGAGUGGGGUCUAUGUUCCCUUUAUGAGCUGUAACGCACACCAUGAAGGUCUGCGGCUUGGCUAUUGAGUCAGUGAGAGCGUGAACCUACUAUUAGAAGAAAAACUCUGAAUACGUCUGAACGUCAGAAAGAACGAAGUUUGGACACAUUGUCUUUAAGAACUGUAACACUCACCCCAAGGGUUUAUGGAUUCAUUCUUGAAAUCAGUGAAACCAAAAGCUUUCCAAAGUUUAACACACAGGGAAAUGACUUACUGCAAAGAACCACUCUUCCCCACGAGACUUCGAGAAGACCCGCUGUCACGGACUGAGUUGUGUCCUCUUAAAAUUCAGAUGUUGGAGUCCAAACCCCCAGUAACUCAGAGUGUGAACGUAUUUGAAGAGGUCUUUAAAGAGGUGAUGAAGGUCUUUGUCUCUGACAAUUUGCCUCUGUGACGUGGAUGGGACUGGAAGUCCAUUUGGAGCCCUGUCUUCUCCACCUAGGGAGAGAGACCCCAUGAGCUCGUCAAGCUCCUUCUGUGACUGAUCAGAGAUCCCACCGUGAGUCCAGCUCCUGGUCCCAUGCUCUGGAUAUAUCGGUCCCUGGCAGCGUGCAGUCUUCUUUCCACCAAUGACCCCUCGCGCUGCUUCCAGAAGCCAAGAAAGUGGGCUUUGUCCUUGGGGAUUUAGGAGGCGGAGCGGCGCCCCCUUGAGGCCACAUGGUGGAGGCAGCGAUGAGACCUGGAGUCUAAAAUUCAGACUGAAUCACAGGAAGAAGCUAUUUACACAAGUCAAACAUGGUCCAAUCUUGGCAAUUUCAUAAGGUUCCAAUCCUUAAGGGAUCAAAACCUGGCCAACUGCUUCCACCGAGAGGUGUGCCUUUCAAUGCCAGGCUUGGAGUGUCCCUCUUUAUUUAAAAAGGAGAGGAUUCCACAGCAGAGCUUCUCAAACUCUUCCACCCAAAUCCCCUCACCACAGAGGGACAGGAGUCCUGGGCAUGUAGCCUAAAGCAGCCAGGAGAAAAAAACCUUGACCUUAAUUUUUUUAAUGAUUUCACAUGAAUCAGUGGAAUGUGUUUAUGAUAAAAUCAUCUCCUCCUGAAAUACAUGUGUAAAACUGCUGCCCCAGUUAAACGCACUUAGUCUAACCAAGCCCUAGGAUUGGCCUCUCCAGCAUGAGAAGCAUUUCCAGCACUCCAGCUCCCCAGCUCCCACUCUGGGAUCCCACCUCAGACCCUCCCACUUCCUUGCACUCUGGCCUCUCGCUCUUGACCCUGCUCCCGCCACGCUCUUUCCUCAGAGUCCAUCAGUCCUGUCUUGUCUUCACCUUGGUCUCUGCCAAGUGUGGGUCCAAGUCAUAUAUUUGGGCUGUGAUCACAGGAACCCCAAGCCCCAGACCUCCCAAAGCACCCUAUGGAGAGACCUUACCCUCCUGGACAGACCCUCUCCCCCCAGCUAGACCUCAUCCUCUGGGUAGACCCAUCUCCCCAACCAGAACUCACCCUCCUGAGUAAACCCCAUCCCCCUAGCUAGACUUCAUCCUCCUGGACAGAUCCCAUCCCCCCAGCUAGACCUCACCCUCUUGGGUAGAUGCAUCUCCCCAACCAGAACUCUCCUGGGUAGACCCCUUCUACCCAGCUAGACCUGAUCCUCUGGACAGACCCCAUCAUCCCAGCUAGACUUCUCCCUCCUGGACUGUCCCCAUCCCCCCUCCAGCCAGACCUCACCCCUCUGGGUAGACCCCAUCCCCCCAACUAGACCUCACCCUCCUGGAUGGACUCUACCCUCCUGGAGAUACCUUCCCCUCCUGGGUACAUCCCACGUGGCUACACACUCCUUCCCCUGUCAGCUUUCUCCCCCAGGGUUCUGGGCAGCAGAGUCUGUGAUAAAGGAUACUAAGUGAUUCCCCAAUACUUCCCGUUUCCAGCCUCCAGUGGGCUCUCCCUGGGGCUAACGGUUCUUUUUGCUAUUUCUCCAGGCUUUGCCUGAUGACAAGUAUACUCUGAGAGUGUCCUAAUGAUACAGAUUUUGGACCCUAUCCCAGUUCUACUGAAUCCAAGUCUCUGGGGGAGGAGUUGGGGCUCUGCAUCUGGACACCUUCCUGCAGGGUCCCUCCUGGGAGGCAAGCCCGGGGAGCACCGCUGAGGCUCGCCUCAGUGCCCAUCCUAGACCUUCAGCAGCUAGCAGAGGAUGUCCCCACCAUCCCUCAGCCCACACUCCCACUGUCGCCCCAGCCAGGCUUGGCACUGCCUCCUUUCUCAGAAGAUUAAGACCAUCUGCUGUUUCCCAAGUUUCCCACCCUCCACCCUAAAAAUUUCUCCGUUUCCCAGUCUUUCCUCGUCUCUCAGAAAAUAAACAUCUUCCCAGGCUGCCUCCCCAGUGGGUCUGCACUCCUUGCUGUCUUCCCAGCACCUGCCCUUCCAGCCCGCCCUCUGUGUGUCCAGUGUUUCCCUCACCAAAGGACUCGCUUUGUUUUUCAAAUUGGAGGUUUUGUCUUCUCCCUAAAAACCAAAACAUCUCCCUGAGAAGUAACUCCCUCAAGCUACUGAUACGGAAGGGGGGCGGGGAAGUGCUGGGAAGGGAAGGGUGUGGUCCCUGGCUAGGGCUCCACCCCCGGGCCUGUGCCCACAGACCUAGGUGAGGACAGGCAUUUCUGUUUUCGUGCUUAAAUGUUGGAUUUCCCAAGACUACCCUGGCCUACCACACCCUCAUUCUGUGCCUGUAAAAAAACCUGAGAGCUUAGCAGGCACGCACACAAGCCUCUGGACGUCAAGAGGAACACACCGGUGUAAGAGCAGACUGAUAGUGGCCCACGGCAGGCUGGCAGGCCAUCGACAGGCAGAACCACUCAGUGCAGCUGGAGGACAGCCUGGCCACGGAGCGGUCCGACUUCAGAGGGGAAAACCACCUCCCCACUCCGUCUCCCUUCUGGCUCCCCCAUCUGAGAGCUACUUCCACUCAAUAAAACCUUGCACUCAU